GACGAACGCUGGCGGCGUGCCUAAUACAUGCAAGUAGAACGCUGAAGGAGGAGCUUGCUUCUCCGGAUGAGUUGCGAACGGGUGAGUAACGCGUAGGUAACCUGCCUGUUAGCGGGGGAUAACUAUUGGAAACGAUAGCUAAUACCGCAUAACAGUAGAUGUUGCAUGACAUUUGCUUAAAAGGUGCAAUUGCAUCACUACCAGAUGGACCUGCGUUGUAUUAGCUAGUUGGUGAGGUAACGGCUCACCAAGGCGACGAUACAUAGCCGACCUGAGAGGGGGAGCGGCCACACUGGGACUGAGACACGGCCCAGACUCCUACGGGAGGCAGCAGUAGGGAAUCUUCGGCAAUGGACGGAAGUCUGACCGAGCAACGCCGCGUGAGUGAAGAAGGUUUUCGGAUCGUAAAGCUCUGUUGUAAGAGAAGAACGAGUGUGAGAGUGGAAAGUUCACACUGUGACGGUAUCUUACCAGAAAGGGACGGCUAACUACGUG
rnacentral:rRNA from 1 species